rnacentral:rRNA from 1 species
ACUCCUACGGGAGGCAGCAGUGGGGAAUCUUGCGCAAUGGGCGAAAGCCUGACGCAGCAACGCCGCGUGAGGGACGAAUGUUUUCUGAAUUGUAAACCUCUUUCAGCAGGGAAGAUAAUGACGGUACCUGCAGAAGAAGCACCGGCUAACUACGUGCCAGCAGCCGCGGUGAUACUUAGGGUGCAAGCGUUGUCCGGAUUUAUUGGGCGUAAAGAGCUCGUAUGCGGAUUGAUAANUCGGAUGUGAAAUCCCCAGGCUCAACCUGGGGCCUGCAUUCGAUACUGUCAUGACUAGAGUUUGGUAGGGGACCACGGAACUCCUGGUGUAGCGGUGGAAUGCGCAGAUAUCAGGAAGAACACCAGUAGCGAAGGCGGUGGUCUGGGCCAAUACUGACGCUGAGGAGCGAACGCGUGGGGAGCAAACAGGAUUAGAUACCCUGGUAGUCCACGCCGUAAACGGUGGGCACUAGGUGUGGGGACUAUUCAACGGUUUCCGCGC